rnacentral:rRNA from 1 species
CAGUCGCCGCGGGAAUACGAAGGGUGCAAGCGUUACUCGGAAUUACUGGGCGUAAAGCGUGCGUAGGUGGUGGUUUAAGUCCGUUGUGAAAGCCCUGGGCUCAACCUGGGAAUUGCAGUGGAUACUGGGUCACUAGAGUGUGGUAGAGGAUAGUGGAAUUUCCGGUGUAGCAGUGAAAUGCGUAAAGAUCGGAAGGAACAUCAGUGGCGAAGGCGACUAUCUGGGCCAACACUGACACUGAGGCACGAAAGCGUGGGGAGCAAACAGGAUUAGAUACCCGCGUAGUCCCUGUCUCUUAUAC